CCUACGGGAGGCAGCAGUGGGGAAUAUUGGGCAAUGGGCGCAAGCCUGACCCAGCAACGCCGCGUGAAGGAAGAAGGCUUUCGGGUUGUAAACUUCUUUUCUCAGGGACGAAGCAAGUCACUGUACCUGAGCAAUAAGCCACGGCUAACUACGUGCCAGCAGCCGCGGUAAUACGUAGGUGGCAAGCGUUAUCCGGAUUUACUGGGUGUAAAGGGCGUGUAGGCGGGAAAGCAAGUCAGAUGUGAAAACCAUGGGCUCAACCUGUGGACUGCAUUUGAAACUGUUUAUCUUGAGUGCUGGAGAGGCAGACGGAAUUCCUGGUGUAGCGGUGAAAUGCGUAGAUAUUAGGAGGAACACCAGUGGCGAAGGCGGUCUGCUGGACAGCAACUGACGCUGAGGCGCGAAAGCGUGGGGAGCAAACAGGAUUAGAUACCCCAGUAGUC
rnacentral:rRNA from 1 species